GAAACAAGUCAAUAAAUGGUGCAGAAUCGAUCUCCUUUUGAAUUACUCCUAUAUAUCAUCUCUAUCCAUUGCAAUUCUGCGCUGUCCCAAAUUCUUCAAUUAUCAGUCAGCUUCUUCCAAUUGCUUCAUCUCUCUCCUCAGUCCUGCGAUCUUCCUACAUUGUAGCGGAAUUAAGGGUGAUUUAGAGCUAAUUGGUGUUAAGAUCAUUUAUUUCGCUGUUCGAAGAAUCGAGAAUGAGUCAUAUCCUAACGAUAUGUUUCUCCUCUGAUUUUAGAUCGCCAUUUUUAUUAUUCAUUUUCUGUUCUUGUGUGUGUGUGUGUGUGUUUUAUCUCAUGUUGAUUGAUUUUGCUGGACGGGAGAGUUUGAUUAAGUAUAAAAACUAGUUAUUCCUGUCAUUUUUGGAAUUUAUUCCUCUGGCAAAGAUAAUCUGAGAUUUGAGUUUAAGAUUUCUCAAUCUUAGAAAUUAGGGCUUUUUGUUUGGGAAUAUGGCAUAUUUUGGAUUCUUUUUUGAUAUUGCACCCCUAUUGCAAUUUAGAUUGUGUGAUGUUAUGAUUUUUAUCAAAGAUUUAGUCUUUUCAAUUAGAGUGGUCAGUUUAGGUUCUGUGAUGUUUAUGAUUUUCAUCAAGCAUCUAAGCUGUUCAAUCAUGGGCAUUAUUAAGGCUUCUAUUUAGGGAACAUGAGCACAAGCCUACAUUGUUAGUAGUUGAUCUAGCUUCUGUUUAUGCCUUGACCUAUGCUAACGGGGAAACCAAAGAGAGCGUGAUCGCGUGAGGGCUCAGGCGAGGAACGGCCAGAAGCCCAGGAACCCAAAGGAUGAUGGAUUGACCCCGGAACAGAGACAAGAGAGGGACGCGAAGGCGUUGCAGGAAAAAGGCAGCGAAGAAGGCAGCUCAGGCUGCAGUAGGAGGGAAGGCAAGUGCAGAUCAUACUAAAAACCACAAUAAGAAAUAGGAGGUGUUUAUCCAUCUGCUUCUUUGAAGGGUGGUAUUGGUGGAUCAGAUGUUGUGGUUUUAGAUUUGUUAUUGUGCUCUAUAUUGUUAUCUGGCUUUGUUCAUUGGUUCAUUGAGUGAUCAUUCUAGAUCUGAAUAUGUGUCAACAAUGGUGUUUCUGGCCCUUGUAUCUGAUUUUUCAAUGCAAUUUCCUUUUAGUUUGCCAA